UACGUGAGGGCAGCGUGUCGAUCAUUGGCGUAAGGGUGCGAUAGGUGGCGCCGUAAGUCAGGUGUGAAAUUUCGGAGCUUAACUCCGAAACUGCAUUUGAUACUGCGGUUGCUUGAGGACUGGAGAGGAGACGUGGAAUUUACGGUGUAGCAGUGAAAUGCGUAGAGAUUCGAUAAGGAAGACCAGUGGCGAAGGCGGGUCUCUGGACAGUU
rnacentral:rRNA from 1 species